rnacentral:tRNA from 1 species
CGGAUGUAGCCCAGUGGAUCAAGGCAUGGAUUUGUGANCCCCCCCC